UUCUAAACUAGUUUUUUUGGGUACUUCUCUCUUUAAAACCUCUCCCUUCUCUCUAAAAGUAGAUCUAGAUCUCAGUUUGCGUUGGCUGGCUCUGGUGGCUUCCAUAGCGCCGGAGCUAUGCCUCUCUUGCUCUGCUGUAAAGUUUAUGUUGCUUUUGCUUAGUUUAUGUGCGUUGUGGUGUAGGGAUUUUUGAAUGGUUCUUAGAUGGCUUAUGUUGUUUUUGUGGGUUGGUCUCUGUUGCUAGUAGCGCCUCUUGAUCCGGUCAUGUUUUAACCUUAUUCUCGUUUAGCCUUUUACCAGGCUUGGUGGUUGCUUUCGUUUCUGUCCGGUUCGAUCUCCUCCCGUUUUUGUUUUUCGGUGUGGUCCGGAUUGAUUUGGUUCUCUCCUUGUCUUUACUCUAAAGAUCUGAUCGAGAUCUCAUCUGUUCAUUGGCUGGUUUUCUUCGAGGCGCUAAACAAUCAUAUUCUUUGAUUCGCCGCUUCCGGGAGUGUAGGUGUGACUUGUCGUCUUUGGCCUAGUUCUUCUCGCCGGUAUGGAUUCCUUGGAACUCUUCUAUGUAAGGUAGUCUUCAUCGUAAUAGGUGGCACCGCUGUCCAUUUGGUUGGAAGUUCCUUGUCCCCUACGGAGUGGCUUGUUGUAAAGCUCUGCCUUUCCUUUGUCUGGUAAUGUGGUUGACGAGAUGUUGUGUUUAAAAUUUUGGUUGUUUUGGUCUGCUUCUUUGUUUUAGUUUCGCAACUUUGCUCUGUUUGUAAGGUUUGUUUUGCCUUGUUAUUUCCCUUUCCUUUGGGCUUUGCUUCCGAGAUUAUCCUUUUAAUCGUCGGCUUAGUUUUCUGGGGUUACUUGUUAACCGCCGGCUUUGUAUUUCACCCUUGUAUUUCACCGGAAUCUCUAUAAUAAACUUUCAGACGAUAAAAAAAAAAAAAAAAAAAAAAAAACAACCCUAUUAUUGACAAGUGACAACAUGGAAAUCUUUCAACCAUGUUAAAAGAACAUAGUGGUAAACCCUAUAACGGUUUUAAUCCUUUAAUAUGCUGUCUCUAGGUGAUCUUUCAAGAUUCAUGCAAGU
rnacentral:sRNA from 1 species